ACGGGUUCCAACCCGGUUCCUCGCCUCAGAGCGCAACUCAGAAAAGAAAGCCCCAUCGAGGGGUCGAGCUGACCUACCCAUUCCCGAUCCCGAUCCCUCCACCGCCGCCGGCCGCCCUCCAUCGUCGAUGUUGCCCUUCACCGCUGGCCUACGCCCUCUCCCCCUCCCCCUCCCCCUCCCCUUACCUCACAGAUCAGUGCCCCCCUCCUCCUCUCCUGCUCGCCUUCUUCGCCCCCUCCUCGACGUCCUCGUCGGCGGCGCCGGGCAUCAUCCAGCUGCCGCGCGUCGGGUUCUGCGCCGCACCGGCCUCCACGCGUCAAGUUCGUCGAGUUUGGCGGCACUCGCGCCAUCCCACUCAUCUACAAGACUACAACGAGCCCGCGAGCGCCUCCUCGAGUGUGCUCUGAAAUUUGAGGCAUGUCUACCUCAGAGGUUUCCGGGAGUGCCGAUUCCAUGGAUGAGGAUAUGAGUCAAGUACCACGUGUUAGAAGGUCCAAGGUGUGGGAGCAUUAUGAACAAGAUCUGGUUCGCAUACAUGGUGAUCUCAAGGCUGUGUGCAAAUAUUGUGGGACACAACUUCACACCAAGUUUGGGACUACGAGUUUGAGAACCCAUAUUGCAGAGUCUUGCAAAUCAAUUGAGGAUGGUUGUAGGAAGAAUUUUCUGUUGACUAUGAAAAAAACAACUUCCGAAGGCCCGUUUGUGUUUGAUCAAAAAGUUUGCCGUGAUCUCAUGGUCAAGUUUUGCAUCCAUCCUGAGAUCCCCUUUCUUAAGUUUGAAGAUCCAUACCUUUAGUCAUGGAUUAACUCAAUGCAGCCAGCAUUUCAAGUCAUGGGUCGUCACACAAUUCGCGAUGAUGCAGUGAAGAUGUACAAGGGAAUGAAGAAAGAUAUCGAAGUUGAGUUACAAAAUUUGGAUUCUCGCAUUUUCUUAACAUCUGAUAUGUGGACUUCAUCACAGAGCUUGGGCUACAUGUCCAUCACCGCCCACUAUAUCAAUGCAGAAUUCAUCUACAAGAAGAAGAUCAUAAGUUUCGCAGAGGUGAAGUAUCCUCACAUGGACUAUGCGAUAGAAGAGGAACUUGUUGGUUGCCUAACAGAAUGGGGCAUAAAGGGGCAAGCUGUUCACUUUGACACUGGAUAAUGCCAGCAAUAAUACUAAUGCAUGUGAUGAGUUGAUAAAAUAUCACAAACAUGAGCUGCUCCUUGAAGGUCAACAUUUGCAUGUGAGGUGAUGUGCACACAUUCUCAAUAUCUUGUUUCAGGAUGGAAUGAAGAUAACCCAUGAAGCUAUUGACAUGAUACGAGAGUUGCUGAAGUUUAUUGACUCUUCUCCUUCAAGACUUCAGGAUUUCAAUACAAUUGCAAGUGGGACGGGUCCGCCUUCAAAGAAAGGUAUCUCUAUUGAUACACCAACCAGAUGGAACUCAACAUGGAAAAUGCUUGUAGAAGCAUUGAUAUACAAAUCUGUCCUCACUAGUUAUGCAACUCGAAAGAUGAUAGAAUCUCCAAGUGAGCAAGAAUGGGAAAGGGCAGCAGCUAUUUGUGAGUUUCUAAAAGCUUUUGAAGAGCAUACCUUAAUUGUUUCAGCUCAUAGGAAGCCAACUGCACAUAAGUUUCUGCCGGUUGUGCUUUGUAUUCGCCAUGGAUUAAAAGAUCCAGGUUGGAAAACCUCUGAAGUGUUGAAGGAAUUGGCGGCAGCGAUGCAAACAAAGCUCGAUAAAUAUUGGGAUCCCGAGGAGAAGGAGAAUGCAGUUCCUAACCGUCAUAGAAAAAGCAAGGGCAUUGAGUUUAACCACUCACUUGUCAUUGGUACAUUCCUGGAUCCAAGGAGGAAAGAAGAUUAUUUGGAUUUAUUCUAUUGCAAGUUGUCUAUCAACGAGGAGCAGGUUUCAAAACAAGUGGAGAUUGCUUUAGAAUGGGUGAGAAAGUAUGUCAAGGAAUAUGAGCUACUUGCAGCGACAAGCACUGCACACUCGACACCUUCUAGUCAAGGCAAUGCCACUAUUGGAUCACCUAUUGCAGGGAAAAGAAAGCUGGAAGAAGAGUUUGCCCAACACAAGUCUCGUCGGAGGUCACGUGUACACAAAUCAAAACUUGACACAUACUUGGAAGAAGCAAGGGAGUAGGAUUGUGCUGACUUUGAUGUCUUGGGUUGGUGGAAGAGGCAUGCUGAAAAGUUUCCUAUAUUGGCAUCGAUGGCCCGUGACUUUCUCGCAAUUCCUUUGAGCACAGUGGCAUCCGAAUUAGCUUUCAGUUGUGGUAAGAGGAUACUUGGUGACACGAGAAGUUCUUUGACCCCUGAUAUGCUAGAAGCGCUUGUUUGUGCUAAAGAUUGGUUGUUCAAACCAAAGGAGGGAGAUGGACAGUAAGGAUGCAACUAAAAAUUUGGAACCAACAAAAGGUAAAAAUAUAAUCUUGAUCAUCGUUAUAUAUAAGCAAGGGCUAGUGAAGUUCCCAAUUUGGUGGCCAAGCUGGCUCUUUAGAAAAUCCCAAUCAUUUUUAGGUGUUUAUUAGUCUACUGUUAUGUUUGUUUAUGUUUAUUAGUUGGCUCUUUAGAAAAAUUAACAGUUGGCCAAUUUGGUAGCAAACUGUUAUAUUUAUUAGUCUACCUUUUUUCUGAUGUUGCACAAGUUAGUGGCACCUCUUUGGUGUCCUUUCUUCGGUCUGUUAAUUUUUCUGAAGGUUGUCGAGGAAUAGAAUAGAAUAUGUUCUCUUCGUUUUGGAUUUAGGUGUUUGGAGACAAUACUAUGACCAUGUACGACCAAAUAUAUUUGUACUAUUUUAUGUACUUGUUAAGGCAUAUGUGGGUAAAUAUUUUGAGUCCAGUAGUUGCUUCUGCAACCACAUUUUUUCCAACAGGAGGGGAUUGGUUUGUGUGACUGACAAAACUCAGGGCAUCUCUCUUUUGUGUUGGUGCAGACAUUUGUUCCUCCAGCAUCAGACUAUUCUGGUUCUUCUCUUGCCUAGAAAUCCUGCUUUCAACAAGUUCAGAAGCACCCAGCAUGACAUUUUCGGUUAAUCUGAAGAACAAUGGCUCCAAGUUGAAACAUGCAGCCAUCAGCACUGAAGUGGUAGUCUAGUGUAUAUCAUGGUCGCCAUGAGCCCAUGACAUGCAGGGGUUACUAUUAUCCUCUGUAAUCAAGUUCUAAACCUUUGAAGAAAAUGUUAUUCUUGUAAUGAUGGACGUGAACUCCAAGCAUCUGAUCUCAACCUGAAUCAAAUUUUAACUAUCAA